GAUGAACGCUGGCGGCGUGCCUAAUACAUGCAAGUCGAGCGAACGGACGAGAAGCUUGCUUCUCUGAUGUUAGCGGCGGACGGGUGAGUAACACGUGGAUAACCUACCUAUAGGACUGGGAUAACUUCGGGAAACCGGAGCUAAUACCGGAUAAUAUUUUGAACCGCAUGGUUCAAAAGUGAAAGACGGUCUUGCUGUCACUUAUAGAUGGAUCCGCGCUGCAUUAGCUAGUUGGUAAGGUAACGGCUUACCAAGGCAACGAUGCAUAGCCGACCUGAGAGGGUGAUCGGCCACACUGGAACUGAGACACGGUCCAGACUCCUACGGGAGGCAGCAGUAGGGAAUCUUCCGCAAUGGGCGAAAGCCUGACGGAGCAACGCCGCGUGAGUGAUGAAGGUCUUCGGAUCGUAAAACUCUGUUAUUAGGGAAGAACAUAUGUGUAAGUAACUGUGCACAUCUUGACGGUACCUAAUCAGAAAGCCACGGCUAACUACGUGCCAGCAGCCGCGGUAAUACGUAGGUGGCAAGCGUUAUCCGGAAUUAUUGGGCGUAAAGCGCGCGUAGGCGGUUUUUUAAGUCUGAUGUGAAAGCCCACGGCUCAACCGUGGAGGGUCAUUGGAAACUGGAAAACUUGAGUGCAGAAGAGGAAAGUGGAAUUCCAUGUGUAGCGGUGAAAUGCGCAGAGAUAUGGAGGAACACCAGUGGCGAAGGCGACUUUCUGGUCUGUAACUGACGCUGAUGUGCGAAAGCGUGGGGAUCAAACAGGAUUAGAUACCCUGGUAGUCCACGCCGUAAACGAUGAGUGCUAAGUGUUAGGGGGUUUCCGCCCCUUAGUGCUGCAGCUAACGCAUUAAGCACUCCGCCUGGGGAGUACGACCGCAAGGUUGAAACUCAAAGGAAUUGACGGGGACCCGCACAAGCGGUGGAGCAUGUGGUUUAAUUCGAAGCAACGCGAAGAACCUUACCAAAUCUUGACAUCCUUUGACAACUCUAGAGAUAGAGCUUUCCCCUUCGGGGGACAAAGUGACAGGUGGUGCAUGGUUGUCGUCAGCUCGUGUCGUGAGAUGUUGGGUUAAGUCCCGCAACGAGCGCAACCCUUAAGCUUAGUUGCCAUCAUUAAGUUGGGCACUCUAAGUUGACUGCCGGUGACAAACCGGAGGAAGGUGGGGAUGACGUCAAAUCAUCAUGCCCCUUAUGAUUUGGGCUACACACGUGCUACAAUGGACAAUACAAAGGGCAGCGAAACCGUGAGGUCAAGCAAAUCCCAUAAAGUUGUUCUCAGUUCGGAUUGUAGUCUGCAACUCGACUACAUGAAGCUGGAAUCGCUAGUAAUCGUAGAUCAGCAUGCUACGGUGAAUACGUUCCCGGGUCU
rnacentral:rRNA from 1 species